UUUUAAAUUAAUGAUAAACCUGGGAUCGGCGGAAGGGCGGCGGAGAGGAGGCCAACGAGGGAAAGUUAAAAUGGCUGGCGAUCCUUCAAAUAACCCUGGCCAUUUCGCCCACGUACGCGACAGAGUCUCAGUCUUCCCUGCCAGCGCUGGGGAACCACCCCCACCUAUUUUAGGGGGAACCCCGCGGCAAAAGGGGCGGGGAAGGGAGCACGCGGCUCACUUUGGAGAGUUCACAGAGGUGCCGGCGUCUGCAGGUUAUUAAAUCUGGAGCACAGUGAAGCACAUGCUUGAGCCCCCCACUGAAAUACACCGAGGAGGUGGGGGGGGAGGAGGACAUUUUAUUUGCUGAAGCAGAGACACGGCUGGCACCCAAGUUGGGGUUGUUUAGGGUGAAGAAGAGGGGCCUUGACACAGGGGAGCUGACCCUCCACGGGCCACCCUGUGAGAGUGUUAUAAGGGUCACCGCUGAAACGUGCACUUGGCAAGCGACCGUCCGCGCCAUUUUAGAGACACACAGAGGAGCGAGGGUUUCCGCUGCUGCUGCCAGAGACAACAGGCAGCAGCCGAGCCUGAGCUGCGCCGGAGGAGCAGCAGGAGAAGAGAGAUAGAUACAGCCGGCCUGGCACCAAUGUGCAUUUCAGGUAAUUAAGCUAACAUUGCAUCCGCCGAGCGGAGUCUCGGGGAGAAGGGAGAGCGCGCAGGGCCGGGCUCCCCCACCCCUUAACCCUUCAGAGUCCCUACAGCUCAGUAGCUUUCCAUGUUGGGUUGAUUUCAUAUGGCUAUUGCUUUGAAGAAUUAAAAAAAACACCUUUAGCCACCUUUCCCUCCACACACACGUCUGGCUUUGGCGAGGCUCACUGUGCACAUCUAACUCAGCUCCCUGUACAAACGCAUUUUCCAUCCCACCCUUCCCCGCUUAUUUUGCCGACAGGAAACUUCAGGUUGGAAAAAAAAAAUACCCCCACACAUUGAAUAGAUAAGUCCGCCUGUUUCUGUGAGAGCCGAGCGAAAUGGUGCACUCAUUUCCGCAGCAUUAUCUGGCUAUAAAUACCACCGUUCCGGGCCCCUUCUCCUCCCCGCACAGCACCCCCUGCUAGAAUGAUUAAUGGGACAUACGCCCUUGGUUUUCCUCUGACCGCCCCUGAUCCACGUUGCUUUCUCUCGCAGUCACCAGUUCAAGCUGUACCGUACGGUGAGAGAGCGCCCCCCCUCCCACGCCCCCCGCAGUAUCCACAGGGGACGUUAGCAGAUAUUGAUCACGGGCGAGUUGAUUUUGCAUAAUUGGGGCUGACAGUGCCUGUGGUUCCCUCAUUUACGGAGCAACAGCUUUGAGAGGCUGAUUGAUUAGGAGCGGCCCCCUCCCUCCCUUUCCCCAGACAGACACACAACCCGUCACCAAAAGGAGGCAGUUUGAAGGCGAUUCUCUCCGGAGAGUAAAGCAGCUCCUCAUUAUACAGCAAAUGGCCGGCGCGCCGACAGCGAGAUAUUAAACUUGGUCCCCUGUCUAGCAUAUCUAGCUUAACUAACCUGGGAUCCGUCUGCUGCCCGCAGGACUUUGUCUAUGCAGCAAGGUUUGUUGGGGGGAGGGGGGCGUAACUCAACUGCACUCUUGUAGGCACAAGAUAGACCAUUAUAUUCAGCGAUCAUUUAAGAAAAGCGCUUGGGAAGUUGGAGCGGCUUAUAAACAACUCAGUCGGCGUAUGGUUAGCAAUACUUGAAGAGUACCACCCCGCCUCAAAAAAAAAAUUAUGUGUGUGUUUACAAUGCGAAUGUUUCCCCCUCCUGGGAAAUACUUUCCGAGUACUUCUGAAAAUCACGGAACAUUUUAGACAACAGUUAUAAACAAGGAGCUGCGCGCACAUCUACACGUUUUUACAUAACUACUGGUCCCAAACCCUCACAUCGUCUUCUCCAGACCGUUUAAAGAAAUAGUUAUCCUACAGAGAGCAGGUAGGCAUGUGCCAGUCAUCUGAUUUUACAAUUCUUGUUCAAACAGCAGAAACGUACGUUUAUUACGUGAAUCCGAAAGUUACUGUAAAAGCAAAGUCAGGCUUUCUAUACAAAGUUUUGCGAUGUUCCUCUGGGUUAAUACCCCACAGUUGUAUGAAGACUCACACAGACAUCGGUCAUACAGGGAAACACUAAGGACCAUUGCAAUUUCUGUUUUUUCAUCUUAGAACUCAGCACCGAAACAAAGCACUGAAGCAACUGCUAUGCAGAUGGGCGGCUAUGAAUUUUUGCUGCUGCUUAGAGCUUUAAUUACUCGCUCUUGAUCCGUGGGACUACGACACUACACCGCCAAGGUUAAAAUGCCCUGAACAGCUCUGAGCAGAUGUGAGCGAGUUGGCAGACGCGCAAAUGAGGUCUGCCUCUAAGCACGAUAACAAGUGACUAAUACAUUGCAUAUCUCUGAAAGAAAAUUAUUUUUCUCUAAUUUGCAUUAGCUUUUUUUAAAGCCAGCGACAGUCCCUCCGCAGAGGCAGCACUAUAAUCCUGGAAAUACUGCUCCGUGACUUUAAAAGAUUUGGAAGAAGGAAGAGAGUGCCAGUAUUUUGGCGACGUAGACUUGUUUAUCUUUCCGCCUUAGCUUCAAGGCGAAACUAGUUUCGCAAGCAACGUUCCUACAGAAAUGGCAUACGUCAUAUAAAAGAUUAAUUUAUAGCAUUGACGCUAAGAUUAUUGAAUUACUAUUGGAGUAACUUCCGCCGUCAACAGCACAUUAUUCAUAAGACCCAACAGUAUGGGGGGGGGCAGAGGGGAACUGAAGAAAAAUCAAGACAGUCACCCUUAAAAGAAGAUUAUACCCACUAUGUGAAAUUUUGUCUUUCUAAAGAGUUCUGGGCCAAACGAAAAUAGAUUUUAGAGAUUACUUUGUGUGUAAAAACAUAACUAUUCUCUGUUGCAGUUAAAACUACCUAAUUUGAAAAUAUAGGCAGACCCUACAGUUCUUAAUCAUGCGGGCUGGGUUUGGAUACAUAAGGAAACCUUAAGGACAGACAGAAUCAGGUAGUGAAUUUCUCUUUAAGUUUAAAACGUCUUUGUUUUAAGAGAUCUAGCCUGACCAAUUACUUUCUCGUUUUUACUUUUUUGAAGCUGUUUUUGACCCAGAAUCUUACAUACCGUCCUGACAACAUACUGUCUAGUUGAUCAGAGAAUGCCUACAACUGAUCUCAGGAUAACAACUUUCUUUUACAGCAGCACCUGCAUUAAAAACAAAGGAUGCGAUUCACCAUACUGUUUUGAGAAAUGCUGUCCAAGUUGGAGUCAUCUCACGUUAUCAGCUUAGUCCAAGGGAAAUUCAGAUCAUCAUCAUCCCAUGUGUACAAUCCCCUGCACCACAGGGCCUGCUUUUCUUCUCACAGAAUUCAAGGGGAACUUUGCUAUUGCCUUCAAUAGGAUCUGGCCUGUAUAUGCACAUUUCAGCACUCUACCCACUUCCAGGAAAAGGAGCAGGGCUUAGUAGUCAAGAUUCUUUUUCGGGGGGGGGGGGGCAAAUUCCGAGCCCGCUGUUGUCCCUGCGUUUGCCCUUGCUGACGGCCAGGGCAGAAUUUGACCUUUAGACUCUCUCUCAAGCUUAACAAAAGGAAUUGAAGUCAUUAUCCAGUCUCUUGUUUUAGAGAGACCCUCCACUGCAGGAAGAGCUUUUCCCCUACAGGUGUAUUACUCAACUGCGAUAUCAAGGGGUCUGUCUGAAAUUUAGCCCAGGUAUGUGCACACAAGUUAUGAUGA